rnacentral:rRNA from 1 species
GAUGAACGCUGGCGGCGUGCUUAAUACAUGCAAGUCGAGCGAACAGACGCGGAGCUUGCUCGUUUGUCGUUAGCGGAGGAGGGGUGAGUAACAUGUGGAUAACCUACUUAUAAGACUGGGAUCAUUACGGGACACGGGCGAUAAUCCCGGAUAAUCUCUUGAACCGCAUGGUUCAUUGGUGAAAGUCGGCUUUGCUGUCUGUACUAGAUGGAUCCGCGCCGAUUUAGCUAGUUGGUAAGUUCAAGGCUUACCAAGGCAAUGAUGCGUGGCCGACGUAAGAGGGGGAUCGGCGACACUGGAACGGGGACACGGUCCAGACUCCUACGGGAGGCAGCAGUAUGGAAUCGUCCGCAAUGGGCGAAAGCCUGACGGAGCAACGCCGCGUGAGUGAUGAAGGUCUUCGGAUCGUAAAACUCUGUUAUUAGGGAAGAACAAAUGUGUAAGGAACUAUGCACGUCGUGACGGUACCUAAUCAGAAAGCCACGGCUAACUACGUG